AACAUCUAACGAUUGCAUUAAAUUUGCAUAUAUAAGUUAGCAAUAACGAGAUACUACUUACAGUGCCUGGUUUUUGGGAAAACUGUAGAAAGAGACCUUUCCUAGUUUCCCUGGAAUACCUUGAUGAUUUCCACAAAAAUAAAAUUCACACUUCCGGCCCAUUUGAAACAGUGCUUAUUUUGAAAAGUGCAAAAAACAAAAUCAAAACAAAACAAACUUUUGACAUCUGCUCUGUUGGCUCAGUGGCGCCACCUGGUUGCUUAUUGCCACUUGCUAACAUGGUCGCCAUGUUUUUUACACAUGUUGAUUGAUCGAGCUUGAACGUCUGUCUGCGGUAUAACAUAAUUUAGUUUUUAUUUUGAUUUAGAAAACAUUUUUAGGUCUUUGCACUUGUGGUGAUGACGGAACGGAUUUUUUACCGUACUUCUAGCCAAGCUUUCAGCAUCCUAAUAGAUCCCUACACGGCUACUGCGGAGCAGGCUAGCAGGUGACCCGGUUAACUAGCAGGUGCUGCGGUUAACGCUUACUGACUCCAAGCUGCUGCUGAUCAUCUAGCCGUCGCCAGUUCUGGUAUCGUCGAUCGGGUGAUUUUAAUCUUUCGGCAACCAAAGCCCAACGUCCAACAACGAAUACACGGGUUGAUAAAAGCUGUACAUCGUAAAUAUAUUAAUAUUUUGAAAUUUGAUUAAAAAGGCAGGCCAAAAAGCUGCCAGCUGAUAAUAAAUAUAAAACGACGAAAAUUUGCACUUGUUUGCAUUUGUUUAUCCAAUCCGAUUUUUAAUUCCAAAACAAAAAAAGUUCACUCAUAUGUGAGUAAAUUUCACCUAUAAUAAAGUACCCAUAAAUAGGUAAACAUUACCAAUAUUUCUUAAAUUGGCAUGUACUCAAAUAUGGGUAAAUUCUGAUUCACCCAUAAAUACCCAGAGGCACUUUUAGUUAGAGGUUAGACACUGGUUAGGGUAUGUUAGUUAUGCUUCCCUUCAAGUAACAUAAAACAUAAAAAAUGUUAUGUUAUCUUUCUUUUUUUCGCGCUAUGCUGACUUGCUGACAGCUCAAAACAAAGAAAAAAGAAAAUGCGUUUUGUUUCUGGAUCAAGUCUUGAUCGUCUUGAUGGUACUGCAUCUCAGGUAUACGCCAGUAAUCAUGGAAAAAUUCGAUAGUGCACCUGAAUUUUGCGGUUUUUUCGGGAGUAGGCCAUAGAAGCUGCUGUGGACAGCUGCUGGACAGAGAAUCGUAUGAACUGCACCAGAAAUAUUUCAUGGCUAUCGUUGCUUAAGUGCAUAAAGAUGGACUUUUGAGACCGGCGCUUGUAAAAACGGUGGUCGAUGGCCGAGAAUGACCUCGUUUCUACAGGAGCGAAAGCAAUGCGACAAAAAAUUGAAUGCGUCAAUGCACCGAAGUGGAAAAGUCUCGUCGUGAAGCGAAAAAACGACGCGACGGUUGGCUGAGGCAGGAAAAACUGCUGCGCAGAAUGAAUUCGAGUUCGUUCCGGUCACGCUGGUUGCAUCCUGAGAAGCCACGAUCCUGGAGACGGGCGCAGUCAGCCUGACGAUGGAAUAGUGCAUGAAGAUGGAUACACCCAAGAUACGCAGGAUAGUAUUAGUUUAGUGAAGAGUUUUGUUGUUGGAUUAAAGGGA